AUUGAACGCUGGCGGCAUGCUUUACACAUGCAAGUCGAACGGUAACAGGUUAAGCUGACGAGUGGCGAACGGGUGAGUAAUGCAUCGGAACGUGCCCGGUCGUGGGGGAUAACGCGGCGAAAGUUGCGCUAAUACCGCAUACGAUCUGAGGAUGAAAGCGGGGGACCGUAAGGCCUCGCGCGAUCGGAGCGGCCGAUGUCAGAUUAGGUAGUUGGUGGGGUAAAGGCUCACCAGGCCAACGAGCUGUAGCUGGUCUGAGAGGACGACCAGCCACACUGGGACUGAGACACGGCCCAGACUCCUACGGGAGGCAGCAGUGGGGAAUUUUGGACAAUGGGCGAAAGCCUGAUCCAGCAAUGCCGCGUGCAGGAAGAAGGCCUUCGGGUUGUAAACUGCUUUUGUACGGAGCGAAAAGGUCUCCUCUAAUACAGGGGGCUCAUGACGGUACCGUAAGAAUAAGCACCGGCUAACUACGUGCCAGCAGCCGCCGUAA
rnacentral:rRNA from 1 species